AAAAUAUCAUACUUCUCAUUACAAUAGAAGUAUGAAUAUAGCCAAUACACACUACAUAAAACAGGGGUCUCCAGGUCUGCCAACCUUGCAGUAAAGGUUGAGUAGUAGUAGUAAUAUAUUUCUCCUAUGUCA
rnacentral:snoRNA from 1 species